GCAUUGAAGAACUCUAUCAAAAAAGUGAAAUGACAACCCACAGAAUGAGAGAAUAUGUUUGCCAACUGUAUAUGUCUGUUCAGGGUCUGUCUAAUAUUGUCCUGUGAUUUCCCAGAUUUUUUUUUUUGAGAUGGAGUCUCGCUCUGUUGCCCAGGCGGGAGUGCAGUGGCACGAUCUCAGCUCACUGAAACCUCUGCCUCCCAUGUUCAAGCCAUUCUCCAACACACCAGAAAUAAGGUUUAACCAACCAGCUGGGUAUCCCAUCACCCAGUCAAGUUGACACAUAAGAGUAACUAUGUCAAGCAUAGACCAUAAAAACGAAACCAAAACAUCACAGUGAUACACCACUUCGACUUACGAGUAAGGCUGUAUGAAAACAAGAAAGCCCCUAAAAAACAGAGCAUAACUAAUGUUGUUGAGGAUGUGGAGAAACUGAGACACUCAUACAUUGCUGGUGGAAAGGAAAAAUGGUGCAGCCACUGUAGAACAGCUGGGCAGUUCCUCAAAACAUUAAAUACUGAGUUACCAUUCGAUCCAGCAAUUCUACUCCCAGGUAUAUAUCCAGGAGAAAUAAAAACGUGUCCACACAAAAACUUGAACACGAACAUUCGCAGCAGCACUAUUCAUAAUAGCCAAAAGGUGGAAACAACCCGAACACCCAACAACUAGUGAAUAGAUCAACAAAAUAUAGUUUGUCCACACAAUGGAAUAUUAUUUGGUCAUAGAAAUAGGCCAGGCGCGGUGGCUCAUGCCUGUAAUCCCAGCACUUUGGGAGGCUGAGGCGGGUGGAUCACUUGAGGUCAGCAGUUCAAGAC
rnacentral:lncRNA from 10 species